UACGUAGGGGGCAGGCGUUGUCCGGAAUCAUUGGGCGUAAAGAGCGCGUAGGCGGCCCUGUAAGUCCGCUGUGAAAGUCAAGGGCUCAACCCUUGGAUGCCGGUGGAUACUGCAGGGCUAGAGUCCGGAAGAGGCGAGUGGAAUUCCUGGUGUAGCGGUGAAAUGCGCAGAUAUCAGGAGGAACACCAGUGGCGAAGGCGCCGCUCUGGGCCGUGACUGACGCUGAGGAGCGAAAGCGUGGGUAGCAAACAGG
rnacentral:rRNA from 1 species